AACUCAUGUUGAGGACAUUUCCGCAGGAACUCCUUGAACCUGUUGCAUGUCUCAAAAAUAGACUACAAUUCCAUUUGCACAAAAGAAGAUAUCUCAUUCCUAAGCUU